rnacentral:lncRNA from 1 species
UUUAAAAAAAAAUCGUGAGCAAAGUACGAUGAUGUUUCGAAAGUUUUGGCUACCUUCUGAAUAGCUCUUGGCACCAAAAACUGCUGAUCCUGCUACAACGGCAUUCGCACCAGCUUCAAUCACCUGCGAAGUUCACAGACUGUAAGCCAAUCGAUCCAAAAGCUAAAAAACAAAAAAAAAACAGACCUUGUAAGCAUUUGAGGGAGUUACUCCACCAUCAACCUCGAUCCACGGGUUUACUCCCUGCAAGUGUUCAUAAGUCUAUCGGCGAUCACAAUCCAAGUUACAAACCUUCUCAGCGCACAACCUCUUCAAGUCAGAGAUCUUCUUUACUUGGCUCUCGAUGAAGCUCUGUCCUCCAAAACCGGGAUUUACUGACAUGAUCAGCACCAAGUCCACAACUGCAAUCGGAAAAAGAUUUCUUUUUAGCGACGAGCAUCUCUAUAAUACAAGACAAAACGCUCACCUUCAAGCACGUACUCGAUGGCUCCCAAUGGCGUGGCCGGGUUUAAAACAACACCAGCUUUACAGCCGAGAUCUUUAAUCUGGACACGAGAAGAAACCAUUAAAAACUCAUAGGAUACUCCGCAACAUACUUGAUUGAUGGUACGAUGUAAAUGGAUAGUGGAAGCAUUCUCACAGUGGACACUGAUGAUAUCAGCACCCGCCUUCGCGAAAUCGGGAACUCUUUGCUCGGGCUCCACGAUCAUCUGAAAAGAAAGUAUGAACUUCAAGCAUGCCACAAACUCAUAAAUGAAAAGCCACGAACCAAGUGCACGUCGAGAGGAAGAUCAGUGACAGGUCUCAAGGAAUCCACAACCAGAGGGCCGAUUGUUAUGUUUGGAACAAACCUUCCAUCCAUGACAUCUACAUGGAUCCAAUCACACCCUGCUGCUUCCACUGCUUUAACCUGGAGCUCUAGGCUUUUAAAAACUUCUUCUUUAGAAGGAAAAAAAAAACAUAUUUCACCUGUUCUCCCAGCUUCGAGAAAUUCGCAGAAAGGAUCGAUGGCGAGACAAUCACAUCCUUCUUUGAGAAUUUGUCCACCCGUGAGGAUGCAUUGACUUGUAAGCUGAAUCCUCUCCCCUGGCUGAGGAAAAUCCAUGAAAUUUGCCGACUGUAUACAGAGACUCAUACCUCGUCGAUGAUUUCGCAGUAGAAAUCCGACCGCAAUCCUGAUUGCGCCCCCAGAACGAGCUCUGCGAGCUCGAAGGAGACGCCACAGCGAGCGCGGCAUUGUGCGCCAUGAAUGUUCCAGCCAUCCACUCACGGAAAACUAUAAACCCUAAAAUGAAUGGACAAUAAAGAAGGAUUGCAGCUCUGCCGAGCCUUAGCUACGGCAUCCCAAAGCUACUCUAAGUUCCCGCCAAAAUUUCAAAGUGAAAAGGGGCUCUAGGGUUUUUGCGGUGCAAUUUUUAGGGUUUAAUCGCUCGCGCAUUUCUUGGCUCUUCUCUCUUGGCAGCGCCGCGGCCGCGAUGUUGGAGCUCCGUCUCGUCCAGGGAAGUCUUCUCAAGAAGGUACUCGAGGCCAUCAAGGAUCUCGUGAAUGAGGCGAACUUCGAUUGCUCUUCCACUGGAUUUUCCCUGCAAGCCAUGGAUUCCAGCCAUGUCGCGCUCGUGGCGCUGAUGCUCCGGUCCGAGGGUUUCGAGCACUAUCGCUGUGAUCGCACGAUUUCCAUUGGGAUGAAUCUGACCAAUAUGGCCAAGAUGCUCAAGUGCGCUGGAAACGACGAUAUCAUCACCAUCAAGGCCGACGAUGGCAGCGACACCGUGACCUUUAUGUUUGAGAGCCCCUGUAAGUUCUUGUUUCUUCGUUUCUUGUUCUCCAAGCUUAAGUUUUUCUAUCUUUGUGUUUCCAGCUCAAGAUAAAAUCUCUGACUUUGAGAUGAAGCUCAUGGAGAUCGAUAGCGAGCACCUGGGAAUUCCAGACACAGAGUACCAAUCGAGCAUCAAGAUGCCAUCCCAGGAAUUCUUGCGCAUCUGCAAGGAUCUUAGCAGCAUUGGCGACACAGGUACUAAAGAACUCUCGGAAGUUUUCUAUGAUCAAAAGUUUAUAUCUAUUCGUUCCAGUGAUGAUCUCUGUCACCAAGGACGGCGUCAAGUUCACAACUUCCGGGGACAUUGGCACCGCCAACAUCGUGUGCCGCCAAAACACAUCGGUGGACGAGGUAAACUGCAAUGAAACAACACACUGAUUCUAGCGUGUGUGGUUUUCACUAUUUUUCCAGCCCGAUAACGCCACGGAAAUCAAAAUGCAAGAACCCGUCUCGCUCACGUUUGCGCUGCGCUAUUUAAACUCGUUCACCAAGGCAACGCCACUGGCCAACAUCGUGACACUGAGCAUGUCUGCCGAUCUUCCCAUCGUGGUGGAGUAUAAGAUUGGAGAUAUGGGAUACGUGAGGUACUAUUUGGCUCCCAAGAUCGAGGAGGACGACGCAGCAGCAGCCUAGAAGCUUUUUUUUUUCCCUUCGAGCUUAUUGAGAAUCACUCAAGUUUUUAAAAGUUUGCGAUCUCUAUUAGAGCUUUAUGGAAGAACUGUUGGAAGUUUAAAAUCGUCUACAAAGUUUUAGUGUAAGAAUCUAAAGUGUUAAAAGAUUGCAAAAACCAUUCAUAUCUAUUUCAUUGAGAACUUAUCCAACAUUGCGAGUUCGCAGUCUUAGAAGAGUCUAGAAGAGCUCUCUCCAAGUCGUGGACUCUCCUCUCAAGCUUGGCGAUGGUGGUGUUUUGCCACUGGAUCCCUUCCAGGCACUUGGCCACCAUCGCCUUGAGCUGCGCAUUGUCCUCCAUGAGCUUCUUCACCACGUCCACGUCCAUCUUCUCGCCACCUUCCAUGCUUGUUUGCCCGGAGAUUUGAUCUUGCUCGACCGCUUCACACGAGACUGGAACUUCCUGGUCAAUCUUCUCGGGGCUGCGAAGAUCUUCCUCCUCCGAGAUCGUGCUCUCCGGCUCGGUGUCCAUCGAGUCCUCGGCAUCGCCGCGCUUGACGAUGAAGAAACCAUCGUCCUGAUCGUUCUCCGCGUCUUCGAUCUCGAUGUCUUGAGCCUCUUCUCCAUCGGGGUCAUCCUCCGCGUCCUCGAUCUGGAUGUCCUGAGCUUUGCUUCUGUUCUUCUCGUGCUCUUCUCGAUCUUUGUCCUCCAUGGGCUUCGAGAAUUGCUGGAGCUCCACGAUCAAGGCCUUCCUCACUUCCUUGACGAGGGGCUGGACAGCGUCGAUCUCGUCCAGCUUCAGUAGAAGGAGCGUCACGCGCUCGUUGAGCAUCAUCCUCUCCUUGCGAUCCUCCAGGAUGGCGUUAAACUUGGCAGCAUCGGCCACACUCUCCCUGAUCACCGCGAAGUCCUUCGCGAUCGCCUUGAUGCUGCGCAGCUGCUUGAUGGGCUUCCAUCGCCUCACAAGAAACCCGCGAAACACCGCCUGGAUCUUCCGGGCCGCGUCGUCUUGGGAUUGAAACGUGAAGAUCUUCUUGGGAAUCUUCUCGGGCUUGGCUGCUGCCGCCGCCGCCGACCUCUUGGGAGAAGGAACCCUAGCUUCCUCGAUCGGGAUGUCGAUCACGGGCUCCUUCCGCGGAGGAGACUUCCGCGGCGCCGGAGAAGAAGGUUUGCGAGCCUCAUACCUUGGAUCCCUUUGCUGCUGCUGCUUCUUCGGACCACCGCCUCUGGAGAAAUUCUGGGCGAAAUUUGGCGCGUAGAACGAAGAGAAUGGAUCGAAGGGUCCCUUCGAUCGACCGCCAAAGCCGCCCCAGCCACCAUCACUGAAGAGAUCAUCCAUAAACGCCAUUACCGAAGAAGAAAAAGGAUUUCUACAGAACCCUAAAGCUACCACGCGGACUUUAUUUGCAAAUCCUUUUGGGAGAUUCUAGAACGCCCCAGAUGGUUUCCAAGCAUAUUCCCCUUCCAGUCUCACAGCAUAUUCGCUAUUUAAAAAUUUGAUCUUGGCGGAAAAGCUACUCCAACAACGCACUAGCGCUUGGAUACAAAUUCCUCGCGCCUCCAUAUCCUCGCUACCAUAUCCUCGAUCGGAUAUGGAUCAGCUAGUAUCAUUGUUUGUGGCGCUCACAGUUCUUUCGGGCAAGUCUCUAGGAUUUCUAUACCUAUUACUGAUCAAUUCCAUGCCAUCGCAGGAUCCGUGGCACACCAGACGAAGAUCAAUCUCUACAACGCGUGCCAAUUCCCCGUGUGGCCGGCCUGGAUCCCCAAUGCCGGCGUUGCCCAAAUCGCCCCCGGGGGCGCCAAGAUCCAACCUUACGAGUCCAUUCAUCUCCUCGCCCCCUGGGGCUGGUCUGGCCGAUUCUGGGGUCGAACGGACUGCUCCUCCUCCAUCGCUGCGAUCAAUUCAAGCAACACGGCUAACAACCACACGAUGAACACGAUGAUCGACUGCGAGACAGGGGACUGCAAUGGCGAGCUCGGGUGCUCCUCGCCGGGCCUUCCUCCCGCAACGCUAGUGGAAUUCACCCCGCUGCGCGAUCCCCACGCGCUGCUCGACCACUACGACGUCUCACUCGUCGACGGCUACAAUCUCCCGGUCAGAGUCAUCCCCUCGUCGGGCAGCUGCAAAUCCGCAGGGUGCAGCGCCAGUGCCGCCGAUCUCCUCGCGCGCUGCCCGCCCGAGCUCGCGAUCCGGAGGAGCGGCGGCGACGCGGGCGUGAUCGCCUGCAAGAGCCCCUGCCUGGCGUUCAAGGAGGACAGGUACUACUGUACGGGCGAGUACGGCAGCGCACGGAAGUGCCGCCCCAGUCCGUACUCGCGAUGCUUCAAGCGCUCUUGCCCGGACGCCUAUAGCUACGCGUUUGAUUCGCUCGACUCGGGCUUCGCAUGCCCGUCCGGGGCCGAGUACACGAUCGUGUUUUGUCCCAGGAGCUAUGGCCAUGGAUCCAGCGAGAGUUCUAGUUCCUGGUGAGAAAACACCGUAUAACUUUUCAUAUAUUAAUUUACAGCGCAUGGAACUUGAAUUGUGUGCCUAUGAAUUGAAGAAUGCCUGGAUCGAUCGAUCGGACCUAUCAUCUUUUGUUCUUGGUUUUGGAGUUUCACUUUGAUGUAUGAUCUUUUGCUCUUGGGAUUCGGGGUUUUCACUUGAUGUGGGAGUCGUAGAUCGUGAAUAAGCUGUCGGUGAUGAGCAGUGGCAGCUUGUCAAUGUACAUGAACAGCCGCUGCAAAUUCUCCCGCGACAGUUCCACCAUGUCCUGCGAGUCGGAAACAUCGGUGAAAACCCACAAGUCCCGCGAAUUCACUCGCUUCAAGCUGUCACGGCAAAACGGACACGAUUGAGCUCUCGAAUGCCUGGAACCAAAAAAAAAAAAAAAAAAAACAAAGAGAACGAACAAAGUAGAACAUCUCUAAAGACCAAACUCUUGGAAACGUACCAUUCUCUGUAGCAUCGUAUACACAUUGCGUGAUUGCAUCCCGGCAGCGCGAUUUUGCUGUUGGCCUCGAGGCAAAUCCCACACUCUUGCUCCCGCUCCACGUCCAAAUCGCUCAUCCGCCCCCGUUCCUCGUCGCCUUUCCGCUUAAACUUCUCCAGGCACGCGGCGCGCUGCUUGAUCGCCUCCACUUCCGUGAUCCCACCUUGCAACUGCUGCAAAGAAGGAUAAAUAUACGCUGGAACAAGCACAAAUCUUUCCAAAAUCACUUAACGGGCUCUUCACUUCGUCUACAAGCUUACCGUAGAACUCCCGUAGGCUAGCUUUUCGUUCGUGCGUGGACAUGGUGGUUGUGCCAUCCACAUAAACCUGCGGAUCAUUUACGAGAAACCAGCCAGUCAGUGUGGAUCAAACGCGCCAAACUAUUAAAGACAGGAUAAAAUCAAGAAGAAAAAGAAGAUCUCCAGCACAGAAUGCUUGCUGACCUGAAACAAUUUGCCGGAUUCUAACGACAAAAACUUCCCACAGAAAACAAAAGAGGGGAGAGAUUCGAAGUUUACGACGAUCUAGAGAGCGAAAACUAAACUGACCUUGUAGAUGAGAAUUCUUAUCAGGCCCAAAGCUCCGGCGAGGCUACAAUCCGUCCAGCGAACGAGAAAGAGGAAGAAAUGCGCCGCGGGGCUGUAAGAGAGCCUCAUCUGGAGGCAAGCGCCAUCGUAUCCUCUUGGAAACUCGGAUGCCCUGCGAAAGAAUUCAUCACAAAGUAAGAAUCGCGAAGAAAAGCCCUCAAGAACACAAGAACACCAAUAUGCUAUAGAACGAGCAGAGUUUCCACUGAUCACACUUACAAUGUGUUGGCGUGUUGGAUGUCCGCCUCGAGUGACUUGAGAGACUCCUUGAAAGAUUUGCCAUGGCGCUUUGUCACAAGGAUCAUCUCGCAAGUAACCCCCUCUCACUAGUUCUUAAUUUUGGAUUUUUUCCUCGAUUCACUUCACGGAGAAUCCCUGCCUCCACUGUGGAUUGGAACCUCUGCCAUCCAAUCCCUUUCCCUUCUUCCCCGGAGCCCUAUCUCUUUGGCAAGUACCGCAUUUGGGGUGCAUAGCUCUCCCUCCUCUCUCUCCCCGCUCUAGGAAAGAAAUCCAGCAACGAGAAAAAAAGGAAACAAUCCCGCAAGAAAAUCGGGAAUUCCCACAAAAGGCCUACCCCACGGGCGAUGCGAUUGGCGAUCGACCCCGCCCAGACGCUGCGAGGAACGCAAAGAAGCCGCUCAACCGCAACACGAAACAAAGCCAGCCACAGGGAGCUUUUUCACCGGGGUUACUUACCGCACGCCACGUGUCAGGGCGGGCGCUGACGUGUCCGUGACGCAGCGAACACGUGGCGGAUUGCCGGGGCCGUUGUGGGGCCCAACCGUGGCACCAACGUGUCGCCAAAUAUAACAGCUGGAAAAAAUACGUGUGAGUCAUCCUUUAUUGUUUGAUCUUAGCGACGACCAUUUUGAUUUGAUAAGGGUUUGAUAUAUAAGGGCUUGGUUUUAGGGUUAGGGUUUGAGAAGGAAGAGCUAUGGCAGGACUUUCUCUUCAGUGUGGAGAUUGCGGCGCGGCUCUUCGGACCGUGGAAGAGGCGCAGGAGCACGCGGAGAUCUCAGGCCACGCGAAUUUCGUGGAAUCAACGCAAGCGGUCCUCAAUCUGGUAUGCACAGCCUGCGGCAAGCCCUGCCGAUCGCAGACGGAGGUGGAUCUCCACACCAAGCGCACUGGCCAUGUCGAUUUCGCGGACAAGACGGCCGAGGCGGCCAAGCCCGUGGUCCUGGAGAGCGGCAGCAAGCCCGAGAUGAUGGACGUGGAUCCGAAAGAGGAGAUGCAAGCUCCGGAGGUGAACCAGCAGCUCCUCGAGGAGCUGGAAGCGAUGGGAUUCCCGCGCGCUCGAUCCGUCCGGAGCUUGUUCUACAGCAAGGCCGAGAACUUGGAAGGCGCUGUGAAUUGGAUCGUGGAGCACGAGAACGAUCCGGAUAUUGAUGAGGAGCUCUUGGUUCCGGCGAGCUCGCUAAAGCCGGCUCUCACUCCCGAGGAGGCCAAGGCUAAGGCGCAAGAAUUGGUGGAGCGAGCACGGAAGAAGAAAGAGGAGGAGGAGAAGAGGCUGGAGAGGGAGCGAGAGAAGGAGAGGAUCCGCGUCGGGAAGGAGCUCCUCGAGGCCAAGCGCAAGGAGGAGGACAGCGAGAGGAAGCGGAUCCUCAUGUACAGGAAGGCGGAGAAGGAGGAGGAGAAGCGCGCGAGGGAGAAGAUCCGGCAAAAGAUCGAGGAGGAUCGAGCGGAGAGGCGGCGGAAGCUGGGCUUGCCGCCGGAAGAACCCAAGCCGGCUGAUCAAGCAGCAGCGCCACUCGCAGCUCCAGCGGCAGCUCGUCCAGCAGACGAAACCAAGCCAGUCCAGCAGCCAAAGGCAGCGUCCAAGGCCGAAGAGCUCCGGAGCUGCCUGAGAUCCAUCAAGCAAUCUCACAAGGAUCAGGACGCGAAGGUGAAGAAGGCGUUCCAGACGCUCCAGACUUACGUGGGGAACAUUGGACGCGCCCCGCAGGAGGAGAAGUUUCGCAAGAUCCGGGUGACCAAUCCCACGUUCCAGGAGCGCGUCGGGGAUCUCGGCGGCGUCAAGUUUCUGGAGCUGUGCGGCUUCGAGCUGGACCCGAGCGGCGAGUUUUUGAACCUGGCGGCCCAGAGUGUCGACAUUGGGGUGCUGAGAGCCGCAGACAAGGAGCUCUCAUCGGCGAUCACCAAUCCCUUCUUCGGCGUUCUCUAGACAUUUUCCCCAAGAGCCCUAAACAUUUAUAAAGUUAAAGAACCCUAAAAGUGAUGUUUACGAAGAACCCUAAAAGUGAUGUUUCCGAAGAACCCUAAAAGGUCAUUGUCUAAAAAUAAGUAGAUGACGGAAUAUCCUCACGCGGAUAUACAAGCAGGGACACAAAGGACGAAAGGGCUUUUCUUUGCGUAUACAGGAUGAUGCGGCGGCGGAAUCGAUCGCAAGUGGCCAAGAUCCCCUGGCUGCCAGAUCUGACCCCCUUCGACGACGAUGGAUCCGGGUUGAUUUGACCGUUCGCCUUCCUUCCCCCGUGCUGUCAAAGAUUGACGCUUCUUGGGGAUCGUCUCGUCUCCUCUCGUUUGUUGGCGAUGGCGAAGCUGACACCAGGGAUUGUUGCGGUGAUUAUGGUGUCUGGGAGCGUGAUCUACAUCGCGGCCAACAGGUUCCACCGGCUCAAGCAGCAGAAUUUCGAGGAUCUGGCGCCCGCCGCAAAGCCCAAGAAGAAGGUCCGCUUCUCCGACUCGGUCGUGGAGCCCAAGGGCGACAAUCGCGAGUUUCGGAGGUCUCGCAAGGCUCGGGGGAGCGUCAAUCAGGAAAUUUCGGAUCAGGGAGGCGAGCCGGCGCCGGCACCGAGCGCAGCUCCAGAGAUUUCGGUGGAUCGAGCGCCGCCGCCCGGCGAUCACCGGCCAAUCUCGAAGAAAGUGGAGGCGCUGCUGGGAUCCAAUCUGCCCGCUAACAGGAUCGCGCUCUACUCGGACAGGUAUCACGAUCGCCUCCUCAAGGUCUGACGCGAGCGAUUGAUUGAUUGCCCGGCUCCUCCUCUCCCAUUCUUUCUUUCGGUUCGAUCGAUUGUCAAUUUUCUCUCUAACUCCACCGAUCGCCACAUUCGUUGCGUGACCUUUUCUCUUCCGGUACUGGUUUUCGUUUUUUUCCUGUUCUACUCUUCAUUUUCCCGGCAAAAAGGGGGCUUUCAACAUCUGGGGUGUCCUUCGCUUGGCUGCUUCGAAAAAAAUUCGUGCGUGGCGACGACGGCCUCCCUCCACUUGCAGCUCCGAGUGGGCGGCGCAGCGAGAGAACAAGAGCAACAGUCAAUCUCGCUGGAAUCAUUGGCGACGGAAGAAAUCCCAGUAGCCAAUGCGAGCGUCUCAAGAUAAGAGAUCCUUUCGUGGAAAGAGCAAGAACAAUUGGUUAUAGUGGUCGGUGGUGACCGGUCAGUGGUGAUCCAGUGGUCAGUCUCCACCCAAUUAUUGACGGACUUCUUUAAGCUUCCAUUCUUAUCCAACAUAAAUCUUUGGAUCUAAGCUUAGAUUGUCUACAUUGAAAAAGAUUCCAUUCCAUGAACCCUAAAAUCUCGAGACAAAACAAAGGAUUUUUGGAACUAUAGUAGUGUCCGUACAGAAAUGCAAAAGAGAAUUUACAAGCCUGGGGCUCACUCCCAAGAUUGCUUGCGUGGAAUUCGCCCUAGCCGCCAAAGCCGUACAAGGUCCUACCUUGCCUCUUGAGUGCGUAGACGACGUCCAUGGCCGUGACCGUCUUGCGCCGGGCGUGCUCCGUGUAGGUGACCGCAUCCCUAAUGACAUUCUCCAGGAAGAUCUUGA